UUUGAUAAUCUGACAUGGGACAG
rnacentral:miRNA from 1 species